rnacentral:rRNA from 1 species
AUGGCCGCGUCAUCAAGCUCGUCCGGCGGGUGCACAUGGCCGGACCUCCAGCCGGAGAUGUUGGGCGUCGUGCUCUCGCGGCUGCCGUCGCACGCCGACCGCGUCCGCCUCGCCGCCGUCUGCCGCCCAUGGCGCUCCAGGGCGCGGCUGCUGCGUCCGCUACCCCCGCUACUCCCGUGGCUUGCCCUCUGCGAUGGCACCUUCCUCAGCAUCCCCGACGGCGUCGUGCACCGCCUGCCCGCGGCGGGACACGACGUCUCCGUCCGAGUCUCCACCGGCAGCACGCUCUUCCUCGUGCACGUCGACGACCACAAUUGCUCCCUGAUGAACCCUUCCCCGGUAGCGACGACCCCUGUCCCUGAGGCCGCCGGCUGGUUCCGAGAAAACCCGACCGUCCGGAAGGUGUUAAUGUCCGAUCACCUCGUCGCCGCCUUGGUGAAGUCCAAAGACAUCUACGGUUCCAAGACCACGAAGGUCAUCAUCUCCACUCGUGGGCAGCCAUGGGACAUCACGAGGUGCUCCACCACGGAGUGGGCGGAGCCUGAAGACAGCCACGUCAACGACAUUGCGCUCUUCCAAGGGAAGCUCUACGUCCUCCUCACCACAGAAGUGGAGGAAUGUCGUCAACAGGAGCUUCGUAUCCUGGACGACGGCCGCGAGCAGACAGCCAUCGGCGGUACGGCUGACACGCAUAUCGACGGGGACGCAUGGUACAAUCCUUACUCGACAGACAUGUACGUGCUGCGGAACUACCUCGUUGCCUCCGGCGAUCGGCUGCUGAUGGUGGAACGAAGGAUUUACCAGCCGCCAAUGUUUCCGGCAGACUCGGGGAUUGAGGAGCAAACUCGACUCUUCAAGGUCUUCGAAGCAACAGGCCUGAGCAGCGGCUGUGGACACUGGACCGAGGUCGAUACGUUGCUGGGGCGCGCGCUCUUUGUCAGCGAAGGCUGCUCAGAGUCUCUCCCAGCUGGGGGUCAAUCUAGCGGCGUCGGAGUUCGAGAAGAUUGCAUCUACUUCAUGAACGGCGAAACUUGUGAGAAUCCCUUUCCAGACUCCGGCGUGUACAACAUGAGAGACCAGACAGUAGCGCCGUUGCUGCCGGCGACGGUGGCGGUGCCCGCAGCCGGCUACGGUCCAUGGUCUCCAACUUGGCUUUUCCCAGAGACUUGA